AUUGAACGCUGGCGGCAUGCCUUACACAUGCAAGUCGAACGGCAGCGGACCUUCGGUGCCGGCGAGUGGCGAACGGGUGAGUAAUGCAUCGGAACGUGCCAUUGAGUGGGGGAUAACGUAGCGAAAGUUGCGCUAAUACCGCAUAUUCUGUGAGCAGGAAAGCAGGGGACCGCAAGGCCUUGCGCUCUUUGAGCGGCCGAUGUCAGAUUAGCUAGUUGGUGAGGUAACGGCUUACCAAGGCGACGAUCUGUAGCGGGUCUGAGAGGAUGAUCCGCCACACUGGAACUGAGACACGGUCCAGACUCCUACGGGAGGCAGCAGUAGGGAAUAUUGGACAAUGGGGGAACCCUGAUCCAGCCAUGCCGCGUGAGGGAAGAAGGUCCUCUGGAUUGUAAACCUCUUUUGGCAGGAAACAAACCUGCGCUAUACGCGCAGCUGAGGGUACCUGCAGAAUAAGCACCGGCUAACUCCGUGCCAG
rnacentral:rRNA from 1 species